UACGGAGGAUGCGAGCGUUAUCCGGAUUUAUUGGGUUUAAAGGGUGCGUAGGCGGAUUUUUAAGUCAGCGGUAAAAUGUCCGGGCUCAACCCGGGCCGGCCGUUGAAACUGGGGAUCUUGAGUGGGCGAGAAGUAUGCGGAAUGCGUGGUGUAGCGGUGAAAUGCAUAGAUAUCACGCAGAACCCCGAUUGCGAAGGCAGCUUACCAAGCUACUUCUGACGUUGAGGCACGAAAGUGCGGGUAUCGAACAGG
rnacentral:rRNA from 1 species